rnacentral:rRNA from 1 species
UACUACGGGAGGCAGCAGUGGGGAAUCUUGGACAAUGGGGGCAACCCUGAUCCACCCAUGCCGCGUGAGUGAUGAAGGCCUUAGGGUCGUAAAGCUCUUUCGCCUGUGAAAAUAAUGACGGUAGCAGGUAAAGAAACCCCGGCUAACUCCGUGCCAACAGCCGCGGUAAUACGGAGGGGGUUAGCGUUGUUCGGAAUUACUGGGCGUAAAGCGCACUUAGGCGGACUAAAAAAUUGGGGGUGAAAUCUCCGGGGGUUCACCCCCGGAAACUGCCUCCAAAAAUAAUCUGUUUAAAGUUUCUAGAGAGGGGGGGUGGGAAUUCCCCAGGGUAGGAGGGUGAAAUUCCAUAAAUAUUCUGAAGGAAACAACCUUUGGUCG